rnacentral:tRNA from 1 species
GCGUCGAAGCUGAUCAGAGGCUACAUAAAAGCCGCUCUCCUAAAGCGGGUGUCGCAGGUUCGAAUCCUGCCGGGGGCA